rnacentral:rRNA from 1 species
UACGUAGGGUCCGAGCGUUGUCCGGAAUUAUUGGGCGUAAAGAGCUCGUAGGCGGUUUGUCGCGUCUGCGUGUGAAAACCUAAGGCUCAACCUUGGGCUUGCAGUAGGGUACGGGCAGACUAGAGUGCGGUAGGGGUGACUGGAAUUCCUGGUGAUAGCGGUGGAAUGCGCAGAUAUCAGGAGGAACACCGAUGGCGAAGGC